UAGAAAACCCCGAACGGUGGAUCACUUGGCUCGUGGGUCGAUGAAGACCGCAGCUAACUGCGCGUCGUCGUGUAAUCCGCAGGUUAUGCGAACAUCGACAAGUCGAACGCACAUUGCGGCCCUUGCGACCUAGAGUCCUGGGCCACGCCUGUCUGUGGGUCGGUUUACGUUGUACAGCCUGG
rnacentral:rRNA from 1 species